GCCAUCCUAGACAUGCCAGCGCCAUGGGUGCAGUCACUCUGCUGUGUCUAUAAUAUCUGGGCAAAGAGAAAGUGGCCAUUUCUGUGCUCAGUGUUCACAAACCAGUGAACACUAAGAAUGGUUUAUAGCCUGAUGUUU
ensembl:snoRNA